rnacentral:lncRNA from 1 species
GCUGGGUGUUAGUGCUGGCUUGCUUCUCUCCAGAGUGGUCCCUGAGUACUUUCACGCAGAUACUACUCCUACCCACUGAAUGCUUCAUCCCGAAGAGGCUACUAAUAAAACCAAGUUAAUGUCACAGUGUAAGGCUUGGCUCUUAUCCUGCUUUCAUAUCAGGGUCCUGUUUGUGUACAUCAGGAAGUCUGGGAUGUGAUGGGAUGCAAUGGAGAGGAGAUGGCAGCCAUGAGUGGAGAGCAGCCAGCCUGGCCUCACUGCUGUCAUGAGGAGCCUGCCAGGAUGGAGCAGUUCAUGCCAUCCAUGAGUCAUCUGGCUAACUGAACCCGAGGUUGGGAGCACAGACCCACUACAAGCUUGGUUUUUCCUUCUGAAGUGUGGGACACACAACUUGAAUCCUGGUGCCUGUACCUGGCAUGUAUUUCAGAGCCCUGAGCUUUCAGUGUGCUGGUGGCUGCUCCCAUACAUAGCUCAUAGCGUGCUUGCUGAGCAUACACACCUCUGUGUUGAGCAAAAGGUGAAUGCAGAUGUGCCCAUCACUUACUUGCCUUGCCUGAAUGAAAGCAAAGUUUAUGAAAAUGGGUGUUGAGCCUUGAUUAACUAUGUGUGCUUGGUAUAUACACUCUAUUCUCUGUCUAGGAGUGACUGCAGUAUUUAUUUGUGAAAUGUCUGCCUAUUUUAGACUCCUUUGGACAGUCCAUGAAGCUCUGGAGGGGGGAUUAGGUUAAAUGUAAAGAAGUGUUUUACAAUAAGGGUGGUGAGGCACUGGCACAGGUUGCCUGGUGAGGUGGUGGGUGCCCCGUCCCUGAAGUCAACCAAGGUCAGACUGGACAGGGCUCUGAGCUCCUGAUGGAGCUGUAGGUGUCCCUGUUCAUUGCAGAGGAGUUGAACUAUGUGACCUUUAAAGGUCUUUUCCAACACAAACAAGACUGUGAUUCUAUGAUUCUCUUUCUUGUGAGAAGGAGACGGUUUUUACUUUAGGAACUAAAAGCAGUUGCUCACCCUAGUAAUGUUACACUUAAAAUGUGUUAGAGGCAUGUGACCACAGUGUAAGGCCUUCUUCACAAUUUCCGUGUGAAAUGUUAUGGGCUGUCAUGCAGUACAAUCUACAUAUACCUUUGAUACUAGAGGAGAAAUCAAUAAAUCUGCUUUUGAGAUGUUUGUUGAGGAUGUA